UACGUAGGGGGCAAGCGUUGUCCGGAAUCAUUGGGCGUAAAGCGCGCGUAGGCGGCUAGAUCAGUCUGCUGUAAAAGUCAAAGGCUCAACCUUUGAAAGCCGGUGGAUACUGUCUAGCUAGAGUCCGGAAGAGGCGAGUGGAAUUCCUGGUGUAGCAGUGAAAUGCGUAGAUAUCGUAAGGAAGACCAGUGGCGAAGGCGAGUCUCUGGACAGCAACUGACGCUGAGGCACGAAGGCCAGGGGAGCAAACGGG
rnacentral:rRNA from 1 species